AAAAUGGAACUUAACGUAUUCUUCAACUAAGCAAACAAUCAAAGUGGGAGGGGGGCGGCUGGGAGAGGAUCUGAGGAACUGAGCAGCUGAGGAGCAACCAAUCGGGCUUUCUUUUUCUUUCAAUCUUAUUCCUUUGUUUUCUAUGUUUUCACAAUUUAUUUUCUUUGCCCAGCCACGUUCCUUUUCGAAUCCCUCUGUUGUCAUUUCUAUUUGACUUCUUCAUUCUUUCACAAACAUGAAUAGCUUUCCAGGCUACUCACAGGUUCGCCACGCACUAGAGUUGUUACCUUUAAACCCAGCUCUUCCCAAAAUGACCCUCUUUGAACUUUGGCCGACUGUUGUGUCUGCAUGCACCUGAAGGAUCUGUAACUCGAUCUCUGUUUCACUUCCACCCUUGCUCCAGCCUUCCCUGCUCCUUAUGCUGCAAAAGUGAUUUCUGCUUCUCAGAAGGAGGGACUUCAGACACCGGUUACCUGAAGGACGCCGGGCCUAGGGGUACAAUGUGAGCUGCCCUGGGCACCUUCGGGAGGAACUAUAAAAAUUUAUUCUGGGGCUGCCAAAGUAACCAAGAAGUUGUGGUUGCCCCAUCCUCCUGAGCCUACAGCCAACGCCAGCUCCCUCUGUCUGCUGACCUCCUUUCGUCUUUCCAUUCCCGAAAUCACUAAGAACAAAGACUACCCUUGAACCUCCUUGGAAGGGUCUAUGCGGAUUCUCCUCACUACCCAGAUGGCAGCCAAACUUUAGGGAUUUGAACCCUGUGUCCAUAUCCCCCAAUUAAGGACAUUUCCACCUGACACCUGGUCCUGUGCAAACGUUGGAGAUCUCUGAACCACAUUGACAAGGAAGAGAAGUAACUGACAUCAGUGUGGACUUCUUCUGCCCAAGAUGCCAGAUCAAGACUUCACACUUUAACCACAUGAGAACCCCUCUUCUCCUCUUUCUUUCCUUUACUCUGGCUUUGGCCUGGAAAGAUAAUGCCAUCAUCUGUAUCUCCCAGGCCAUUGCUAAGGGUGGUAACCAUUCAGACUGCUGGAUUUGUCAUCAAAAACUUUAAUCUGUCUAUUAACAGUGCCACUUUAGUGAGAAUGGUUUGUGCCCAGACGAGAUGUAUCUUUGUCUGUGUGGUGGUGAUCACUCUCCUUGAGCCUAUGAAUGCCUGGAUGGUGAGCAAAGCCUCCCAGGUUACCUAACUGUGCCCCUAGCUGUUCACAGACAGGCUGAGACACCUCUCUGGUCAUCUCUCCUGAAUUUACGUCAUUGAAUUAGAAAGGGCAAACCAGGAGGUUUUCAGUGUUCAGGAUUCACUUCCCUUGGCAGGUCCCUACUUUCUUAGCUGGAGUGAGUACAGAUGAGGCCAUGACCGGGAAUCUCUCCUUAACUCUUGAAGAUAUCACAGAAUCUGCUGCUAAAGCAAUAGCUGCCCAACAAAAACUCUUAGACUCCCUGGCCAAAGUUAUUCUUGAUAAUAGGAUAGUCUUCAAUUAUCUCUUAGCUGAGCAAGGAGGUGUCUGUGCUGUGGCCAAUGCCACUUGCUGCACUUGGAUUAGCACUUCUGCGGAAGUUGAAACUCAGCUACAUAAGGCUACUGAACAAGCCACUUGGCUUAAGAAAGUGACUCCUUCAAUGGAGUCUUUCUUUGACUUAUAUGAUUUUAAUUGGUUUGGGUCUUAGGGACCAUGAUCUGAAGUGCAUUCCAAACAUUGGAAAUUAUCCUACUUGUAAUAAUCAAAGUAGUCUCCUUGGUGCACCGUAUUCUCUCAACAGCUUUAAAUGCAUGUUCGCAGCCACUAACCACCAAGCAAAUGGUCCUCGUUCCUAAGACUGGAACAUCAGAAAAGGAACAAAGAGAAUGACCAACUUAAAAAAUGUAAGUCUGACGUCAUAACCUGUGACUAGCACUCAGUAAAAGCUGGGAGAGCAACAGAGAGGUAGCUGAGAGUGGUGCCAAGGCCUUAAAUUUUGAUCACGUCUCUCAGUUAGGCUGAGAGUCUGAUCAAAAGGGGAAAUCAUUAAAAAAAAAAAAAGAAGAAAGAAAGAAAUAGAAACAACAGGCCCACAUUGAAGUCACUUGUGCUCAGCUCCACAUCAGCAAACCAAGACUUGAAACUUCACCUAAUUGCAGUUUCAGCCCCUCCCAGGAGUGUAAACUUUAAUCAGCUGAUCUGGAAUUAACGGUUAGCACUAGUGAGGUAAUCCACUGACAGACCCCUGCCUUCCUUUAAAGGAAGGUGCCACUGUUGAAAUGAUCCGUUCUUGGCUAGAAUAACUUCCUUGCCUGGUUUCUCUCUGUCUAUAAAAGUCUUCCAUUUUGUACAGCUCCUCAGAGCCCCUUUCUAUCUAUCUUCUAAAUGGAAUGCCUUUACGAGUCAAUGAAUAAAGCCAAUAAAAUCUCUAAAAUUUA